UACAGAGGUCCCAAGCGUUGUUCGGAUUCACUGGGCGUAAAGGGUGCGUAGGCGGUGAGGCAAGUCUGAUGUGAAAGCUCGGAGCUCAACUCCGAAAUGGCAUUGGAAACUGCCUUGCUAGAGGAUCGGAAGGGAGACUGGAAUACUUGGUGUAGCAGUGAAGUGCGUAGAUAUCAAGUGGAACACCAGUGGCGAAGGCGAGUCUCUGGACGAUUCCUGACGCUGAGGCACGAAAGCCAGGGGAGCAAAC
rnacentral:rRNA from 1 species